GACAGAGGGUGCGAACGUUGCUCGGAAUCAUUGGGCGUAAAGCGCGUGUAGGCGGCAUCGCACGUCGGUGUGAAAGCCCGGGGCUCAACCCCGGCAGUGCACCCGAAACGACGAUGCUAGAGUGCUGGAGAGGCGGGUGGAAUUCCCGGUGUAGAGGUGAAAGUUCGUAGAUAUCGGGAGGAACACCGGUGGCGAAGGCGGCCCGCUGGCCAGCGACUGACGCUGAGACGCGAAAGCGUGGGGAGCAAACAGG
rnacentral:rRNA from 1 species